UACAGAGGGUGCAAGCGUUAAUCGGAAUUACUGGGCGUAAAGCGUGCGUAGACGGUUAUUUAAGUCGGGUGUGAAAGCCCCGGGCUCAACCUGGGAAUUGCAUUCGAGACUGAAUAGCUAGGGUGCGGUAGAGGGAAGCGGAAUUUCCGGUGGAGCGGUGAAAUGCAUUGAUAUCGGAAGGAACGCCGGUGGCGAAAGCGCUCUGCUGGACCUCUUCUGACGCUGAGGCGCGAAAGCCAGGGGAGCAAACGGG
rnacentral:rRNA from 1 species